rnacentral:rRNA from 1 species
GAAUGUUGACCUCGAAUCAGGUAGGAAUACCCGCUGAACUUAAGCAUAUCAAUAAG